ensembl:lncRNA
CUGUUCCAGGUUGCCGGUGCCUGUCCACACCACUGUGAUGACGGAGAGAGAAAACAGCCCUGAUGUACGAUUCCUGGUCUGUCACGACAGCUUUGUAUCAGUGUAACUUGGAAAGUGGCCUGGAGUUUGUUGAUGGCACCAUGAGCGGAAUUAGACGGCUGCCGCUGCCAAAUGAGGAUGCUGCGACAGAGGCCGGGAAAAUACCUUUAAUCCCAGACAAACAAGCAUCUUUGGCUAGAAACUAGAGAAACGAGUGAAAUGGACCAUGGAGAGGAAAGUGACAAGAGCAAUAACCUGCGGCUUCUGAACGAUUCACAUUGGAAUAAGACUGAUCGCUGUGUUUGGAGGAUGUUUGAAGGAAAAUCUCGCAUUGUGCUGGAGCGGCCACUGACUGCCUCCCAUCAAGGACAGAGUCACCUUCCUCCGGAGGAGAAUCCAGUCCUCUGGGAGUCACUGUGGCUUGUGAGUCUACCGCCAGAACUAGGUCCUCUUCAAACUGUCAAUAACGUCUUGUGAGAAAAGGAUCCUCGGUGAUGGCUGAUGGAUACGCUCACACCUCCGAGAGAAGUGUGCCUGAAGCUCUCAGACACUGUGUCAGUAUUGAAAUGUUUCUGGGCUGUCACAUCUCACCACCUCCUUAGCCCUAAUGUGAUCGAUUGGGACCGACGCAGAGCCAUAACGUGCUCCUCUACAGAGCACUUUCAUAGUAACAUUUCAGGCCCAGUUGAACCUUACCUCCCCUGGGCCAUUAAAUGAAAAACUGGACCUCAAGUGGAUCUCUGAGUCUGGUCCAUCCCUGAGCUUACAGGCAAGUUAAUGACAGAAAUUGUACAUGUCAGUACUACCAGAGAGCCCAAGGAUUAAAUAAUGUGCAUGUAAUAGUGAGAUCUGAGGUCCUGGCCUGGAUGUGCUAAGAACAUUUGCAGUACCACUUUAAUGACCAAAAGGAAAGAGCCGAGUCUGAGACUCCUGCCUGGGAGGACAUGUCAGGCCUUUCAUGGGAACCAUUUUUAAUUGCAACCAAAAAAUGUCUAUUAGUGAAGUCCCUUAGGCAGAUACUGUAUCCAUUAUAGAGGUCAAACUUUCAGGUUGGAAAAUAUCAUUAGAUAGAUUUUAUCAAUAUAUCAUUAUUGUUAUUAUUAUCAUUUAACUACUUAUGUACUCGUACUAUACUAUUGUUCAGCAUUUUUCAGCCCAAAUAUUUGUGUAGUUGUUGCACUGCAGUCGUUUAUCUGACUAACCUCCUGAAAGCUUCUUCGAACUUAUUGCAGAAUAUAGAAUGAACUGUUUAUAAUCCAUCAUGGUGUAAUUUGUUUAUUUGUGUAUUAAUAGUUUGUCACAUUUCUUUUUAACCCAUAUCAUUCCAUUUUAUGUUCAGUCACCACAUCUUUUAAGGGGUAGUUUUAAAUCGCUUUGUCUUAUUUUAUUUUUUUAAAGUAACAUGUAGAAGUUAUCACACUCACACUCACCAAAUGUAGCUAAAAUCCGCUAGAGACAAAUGCUGUUGUUUUACGUUUUCAUGUGAGAUUUCUCCAACACUAUUAAAAACACUGAACGGUAAAACAAAUAUCAUUAAAUUCCACGAAUUUGAUUUGAAUUCUCACAUAGAUCUUGUUAUUACAUCCAUUUACGACAGACUAACUGGAACACACAAGAUGGCAUUAGCCCUGACAAUGGAAGCAGAUGGCCCGCGGGGCACGUUUGCCAGAUUUACGACUUAGAAAGAACUAACACGCACAAAUAAAUUUGGACAGUGUUGCUUCAACAUCUGAGAACACUGUUUAACUCAUCCCAUCUCAGGAAGUUUUCACACUUCACACUUCAUUAACCUCUGGGGCUCAGAUUCCCUGGGAAGUCGGGGAGGGAGAAUGCUUGACUUUUUCUUAUAAAUCACCACCAGGCAGUGACAACAUUUACAUGCACACAAUCUUCCAGAUAAUAGCUGAUAUUCUGGUUGAGGUGCCGUUUAUAUGCGCUUUCACGUCUCGAUCACAAAUAUCCAUGCACGUGUGCAUAAACAAAAAAUUCCAAACAGUGCUGCCAAAGGCGAGCUCGCACUAAUCGCAAAAAACAACAAUAAUUGGGAUGAGGUGAAGUUUGCUUGUCUGUGUCCCAGGUUAAACUGACACAUGCCAACUUCCAAAGCGUUUGUUUACACAGUAGUGUAACACUCGCAUGGAUCCCUGUUAAAUUGAUUUUCAUUUUUUGAGCACUGAUGGAACUGUGUACAGGCAGCUUUUGGGGCAACAAAACUCAACAGUAUCUAUUACAGAUAUGAAGUUUAGUUUGCCAAUAAAUGAAAAGAAUAUCAUGGGUAUCACAGUUAAAAUGUCAGUUUUCAUAGGGAAAAACAACCAACACCUUUCCUGUUUAUGUUCAUGUUAAGUUGAAUGGCUUUUUGCAGGUGUUAAUUAAAAAACAACAUCACAGAUCCACUACAUUCAUGUUAAUUGAAAAACAAGAUCACAGAUCCAACUAUUAAAGGUUGCAAUUUAAGACAGCUGAAAGCAAUAACACAGAAACGAUUGUAUCUGUACCUGAACGUAACUUCAACAUUUCAUAUUGAACUACAGCCCAGUCCUAAUAUGCCGUACCUGCGGGAUUGGCUGAAGGUUAAGUUGUGGAUAAAAAUAGCUUCCCUCUCAGCCGAGCAGAGCACCACACUGGAUAAAAGUCACAAUACCUCUUGCACUGACACCGAGCAUUGACACUAGAUGUCCCGUGGCAUCACUCAAGGAAUUUAGUAAAUUUUUAACAGUUUCUGCAAACCCCUGUUAUGUCCACUGGAAGUAAACUGUGCACUGCAGAUACAUUCAAUAUGAACGCAUGUCUUGGGAAUAGUAGGCUAGUUAUACUGACUGUUGCCCUAAACUGUUUCCAUAUCCCCAUAUAAGUGGAAAAUGUACAAACAAAAGUAUGUAACAGUAUACAAACAACAAAAGACUCGCUCUCAGCAGGGACAGCAUAAAACAUC